GAUGAACGCUGGCGGCGUGCCUAAUACAUGCAAGUCGAGCGAACGGACGAGAAGCUUGCUUCUCUGAUGUUAGCGGCGGACGGGUGAGUAACACGUGGAUAACCUACCUAUAAGACUGGGAUAACUUCGGGAUACCGGAGCUAAUACCGGAUGAUAUUUUGAACCGCAUGGUUCAAUAGUGAAAGACGGUCUUGCUGUCACUUAUAGAUGGAUCCGCGCUGCAUUAGCUAGUUGGUAAGGUAACGGCUUACCAAGGCAACGAUGCAUAGCCGACCUGAGAGGGUGAUCGGCCACACUGGAACUGAGACACGGUCCAGACUCCUACGGGAGGCAGCAGUAGGGAAUCUUCCGCAAUGGGCGAAAGCCUGACGGAGCAACGCCGCGUGAGUGAUGAAGGUCUUCGGAUCGUAAAACUCUGUUAUUAGGGAAGAACAAAUGUGUAAGUAACUGUGCACAUCUUGACGGUACCUAAUCAGAAAGCCACGGCUAACUACGUG
rnacentral:rRNA from 1 species